GCUGAAAACUAGACAAUAAAGGCCAAACCACAGCAGAGGUCAGGAGGGAAAAUGUUUUCUGUUCAUUAAUAUUUAUGAUGACCUCAAUCUGAACACACACUUGUCCUCCCGUCUCUGUGAGGUCCUCACACACACCUUCACCCCAGAACCAGGUCUAACAGAGACCUGCACCCCAGAACCAGGUCCUCACACACACCUGCACCCCAGAACCAGGUCUAACAGAGACCUGCACCCCAGAACCAGGUCCUCACACACACCUUCACCCCAGAACCAGGUCUAACAGAGACCUGCACCCCAGAACCAGGUCUAACAGAGACCUGCACCCCAGAACCAGGUCUAACAGAGACCUGCACCCCAGAACCAGGUCCUCACACACACCUUCACCCCAGAACCAGGUCUAACAGAGACCUGCACCCCAGAACCAGGUCUAACAGAGACCUGCACCCCAGAACCAGGUCCUCACACACACCUGCACCCCAGAACCAGGUCUA